AUGCAGACACUCCAUUUUUCCGACAAGACACACAGCAAGGUAUUCCACAUACCCUCCCUUGGCCUCGCACUUGUGCUGCUGAUCUGCCUGGUCUCUCCUGGCAGUUCGUGCUCGGAGCAGGAGAAGAGCUCCCUUCUACAGUUCCUUGCCGGGCUCUCACAAGACGGUGGCCUCUCUGCGACAUGGCGGAAUGGCACGGAUUGCUGCAAGUGGGAAGGGAUCACCUGCAGGCAAGAUGGGACGGUCACCGCUGUCUUGCUGCGUUGGAAGGGCCUCCAGGGGUACAUCUCACAGUCCCUUGGGGUCCUCACCGGGCUGCAGUACCUUAAUCUCUCCCACAACUCGCUGUCCGGUGGACUGCCACCGGAGUUGAUGUCGUCCAGCAGCAUUACUAUCCUUGACGUCAGCUUUAACCAGCUAAAUGGAACGCUCCAGGAGCUGCCAUCUUCAACGCCUGCCCGGCCUCUACAGGUACUGAACAUCUCCAGCAACUCAUUUACAGGACAGUUUCCAUCCACCACAUGGAAAGCAAUGGUGAAUUUGAUCGCACUCAAUGCAAGUAAGAACAGCUUUACUGGGCAGAUACCAACUCAUUUAUGUAAUAGCUCGCCGUCCUUCGCUGUACUUGAACUGUCUUUCAACAAAUUCAGUGGCAGCAUCCCCCCAAGUCUUGGUAAUUGCUCCAAGCUGAGAGAGCUCGGGGCUGGAUACAACAACCUCAGUGGAGCUAUUGACGGUACACACAUAACCAACCUCGGAGAUCUUGUAACCCUUGAUCUUGGAUGGAACAGCUUCAGUGGCAAGAUUCCAGCUUCUAUAGGACAGCUCAAGAAAUUGGAGGAGCUCCAUUUGGCCUACAACAACAUGUCAGGGGAGCUGCCAUCUGCUCUGAGCAACUGCACAAAUCUCAUAACAAUUGACCUCAAGAGCAAUCACUUCAGUGGAAAACUUACCAAGGUCAAUUUCUCCAACCUGCCCAAUCUUAGAAUUUUAGACCUCUGGUUAAACAACUUCACCGGUGAAGUUCCAGAAAGCAUAUACUCGUGCAGUAAUCUGAUUGCACUGCGGCUAUCUAGCAACAACUUACAUGGGCAGCUCUCAUCGAGAAUAGGUAAUCUGAAGUACCUCUCCUUCUUGUCACUCGGUAAAAACAAUUUCACAAACAUUACAAAUGCACUUCAGAUCCUUAAGAGCAGCAAGAACCUAACAACACUGCUUAUGGGGCACAACUUUAUGGGAGAGAUCCUCUCACAUGAUGAAACAAUUGAUGGUUUUGGAAAUCUUCAGUUUCUCGAUAUACAAGGUUGCAAUUUUUCUGGGAGAAUACCUGUAUGGAUAUCAAGGGCUACAAACUUGCAGAUGUUAGUUUUAUGUGACAAUCGACUCACUGGACCAAUACCAGGCUGGAUCACCUCUCUAAGCAAUCUCUUCUAUAUGGAUGUGUCAAGCAACAAUCUUACAGGAGAAAUCCCAUCAACCUUGAUGGAGAUGCCAAUGCUAAAAUCAACUGACAACGCAACUCAUUUGGACUCAACAGUCUUUGAGCUGCCUGUUUAUAAUGGUCCAGCACUUCAAUACCGUGUGUUUACAUCUUUCCCAGCAGUGUUGAAUCUAAGCAAUAACAGUUUCACAGGUGUAAUUCCUGCACAGAUUGGUCAGCUGAAGGUGCUUGCUGUACUUGACUUCAGCUUCAACAAGUUAUCUGGACAGAUCCCACAAUCGGUCUGCGACCUCACAAACUUGCAGGUGCUAGACUUGUCCAGCAACAAUCUCACAGGUACUAUCCCAGCUGCGCUGAACAGACUGCACUACCUUUCAGCAUUCAAUAUUUCAAACAAUGAUCUAGAAGGGCCUAUUCCACCUGGAGGCCAGUUUGAUACAUUUCAGAAUUCUAGUUUCAAUGAGAAUCCAAAGCUGUGCGGCUCUAUGCUCACUCAUAAAUGUGAUUCAGCUUCGAUACCUCCAUUAUCCACAAAAACACGACAUAAGAAGGGUCUUUUUGUAAUUGCCUUUGGUGUGUUCUUUGGAGGCAUCGCUGUUCUUUUGUUGCUGGGGCGUUUCAUUGUACUAAUCAGGAUAAAUGGCAUUACAACAAGAGAUAGAAGAGAGAAUAAUGGAGAUGUUGAAGCAACUUCAUUCUACUCCAGUUCAGAGCAAACAUUAGUGGUGAUGCGGAUGCCACAAGGGAAGACAGAAGAAAACAAGCUUAAAUUCGCUGACAUCUUGAAAGCUACAAACAACUUUGACAAGGAGAACAUCAUUGGAUGUGGAGGGUAUGGAUUAGUCUACAAGGCAGAGCUACCUGAUGGCUCCAAGCUUGCAAUUAAGAAGCUCAACGGUGAUAUGUGUCUGAUGGAAAGGGAGUUCAGUGCAGAGGUUGAUGCACUCUCCAUGGCACAACAUGAUAAUCUUGUACCACUGUGGGGUUAUUGCAUCCAGGGAAACUCGAGGUUCCUUGUAUAUUCCUACAUGGAGAAUGGUAGCCUGGAUGAUUGGCUUCAUAACAGGUACGAUGAUGCUAGCUCAUUUCUUGACUGGCCGACUCGGCUAAAGAUCGCAAAAGGAGCAAGCCUGGGCCUUUCUUAUAUCCAUGACGUCUGCAAGCCUCAGAUUGUCCACCGUGACAUCAAAUCCAGUAACAUCCUGCUGGACAAAGAAUUUAAAGCUUAUGUUGCAGAUUUUGGGCUAGCCAGAUUGAUCCUUCCCGACAGAACUCAUGUUACAACUGAGUUGGUCGGCACUAUGGGUUAUAUCCCUCCCGAGUAUGGGCAAGCAUGGGUUGCUACUUUGAGAGGUGAUAUGUACAGUUUUGGAGUAGUCUUGCUUGAGCUGCUCACCGGAAGGAGACCUGUUACAGUCCUGUCUACAUCAAAAGAACUUGUCCCAUGGGUUCUACAGAUGAGGUCCGAGGGUAAGCAGACUGAAGUCCUGGAUCCAACACUUCGAGGAAGAGGAUAUGAAGAGCAAAUGCUGAAAGUGCUUGAAACCGCUUGCAAGUGUGUUGAUAACAAUCAAUUCAGAAGGCCAGCUAUCUCAGAUGUAGUCUCCUCCCUUGCCAGUGUAGAAGCUGAUCCAUAG
rnacentral:rRNA from 1 species